CCAGCUGCAGAUGGAGGAAGAUGAAAUCAGUGGUUGUUUGCACUUGUUUAUCUAACUGAAGAGCUGCUUUUCCCGCUGAAAAGGACUGCUGUGUCCCCAGUGCAUCAGAAUGACCAUCACUUCAUGUGCUGCUGUUACUGCUGUGGAAAGCCUCCUAAGCAUCCCCUCCUCUGACUGAUCAUGAAUCACGGAAAUCGAUUUCGCUGUCACACCUCAAACCCAGGGCUUGACUCUUCCUGUGUGUGACUGCGGCUGGUCUGUCCUGCUUAGGGGUCCCUGGAGACCCUGAGAGUGGACAUUCUCCCUCCACCCAUCCCCCCACCCCAUCCCUGCCAGGGUCAGCUGGCCUAAGAGCAUGAAGAACGCAGGGAGUUCACUCAUGUCGGCAAGAUGGAAUGAAGAUGUUCUGCUUGACAUGCUAGAGCAGAGGCCUUCUCCACUUUCUGCUCUCUCUCUCUUUCUCUCUCUCUCUCUUUUUUUUACUCUCGCUCCAUCUCUGUUGUCACCUUUGCUUCACUAUUUCUCGCAGACAUCUGUCUUAUUCAAGUGCUGACAUUUUCAUCUAUGACCAUGACAGGGUUUUAGACACGACUGGAGCCAACCAGCUUUAUUCCCAGCAGCGCUGUGAGUUCAUAUCUCAGCUAUUCUGAUUAUCCAUCCAUCCGUUCUUUCAUCCAUCUCUUUAUCCACUGCUUUCAGGCCAGGGUGGUGGUGAGUCCAGAGCUUUACCUGGAAUCAUUGGGUACAAGAUCAUCAUAGGGGUCUAUUCUUUUGUGUUUAUUUAUUUCAUCAAUCCAUCUUCCUAUUAUCCACUUGUUCUUUUUCAGUGGAGUAGUGGUUCUAAACGAAUCAUUGAGCUCAAGGCAGGGAGACAACCCAUAAUCAAACAAUCAUAAGAUUCUGACAUAUUAACCAACCAAUUGUUUUAUCUGUUCUUCUAUGUUCUGUUUAAUGAUGUCUCACAUUUAUUUCAAGGCUCUAAGCUAAGAGCCAAGCUAGUUUGUACUUCUCCUGUUACUGAAAAUCUUAGGUUUCACCUUAACCCUUGUGUGGUGUUCAGGUCUGUGUUUUCAUUUUUCAUGAAAUGAUAAUAAAAAAAUAUUUUU